ACGGUGUGGGAUGUGCGUGGCGACCUGCCCUUCGCCGGCGGGUACGGGGCGGAAGGGUCAUCGCCGGCCAUGGAGGGCCCUCCGCCACGUCCAUGGAGAGAGGGGGUGAUGGUUCACAGUGGCUUCUUCUCUUUUCCCUCCCCGGGUUCCACUCCCUCUCCCUCCUGGAAACCCUAGCCGCCGUCCCUCCGCCUCCGCCUCCGCCUCCACCUCGUCGCCGGCCGGUCGUCCGUCCACCUCCACGCCUUGUCUGGAGUUACCCAAGCCAUGAGAGGGAGAUCGAGGCCCACGCAUCAGAACCCUAGCCGCCGCCAGGAGAGAAAGCGAAGGAGCAGGCGGUGGAGGGGAGGAUCCGGCGGAGGAUGUGAAGAUCCGGUGGUGCACGGGAGGAUCCGGCGGAGGAUGUGAAGAUCUGGUGGUGCACGGGAGGAUCCGGCGGCGGCGCGAGAAAGGGGGCGAGGUGGAGGGCAGCGACGACCUCCUCAUCCCGCCCUGUCCCGGCCUGGAGCACGGCGGCGGUAGUCCCGUCCUUCCCCGUGUUGGUUGUGCUGAUUCCGGGGUGGACGUUCUGGUGCUGGACCUCAAGGGUGUCCGCACCACCUACAGAUGCUCGAUGGGAAGCUAUCACUGACUUGCUAUCUAUGGCAUUGGAUUGUUACUACAAUACCUUCUGCAAGAAGAUAGUAAUCUAAAUGAGAAUGGCAGGCAUCGAACUCUAAGAUAUGAGUAAGCUACCAUCAACAACGGAAAUUGAACUUACAUGCACAUUUCCAGCCAAUAGACCAUGGUAGUAUGCAGCAGUUGUGGAGAUCGAGGGCAGCAGCUGUUGCGCGAUGGCCUGUCAUCGUUUGUACAGGGACCAAGGUUUCAAUGUAAACUUUGCACACAAGCUAAAUCCUUAUUUGCUGGUCAGAUUGAGUUGGAGUGGAGAUUUCGCAGUGGGUUUCUGCAUGAGAAGUUGUCCAUAAGAAAGAUCAAGAUGUUCUUUAUAUCCACAAUUACGGCCUCUUUGUUCCAUUAUUUUGAUAGGCUAUUGGCUAUUUAGUGAAUCAAGAUCUGAAUGUUAAGCUGAAGGUAGUGCUCAAAACUGCUUGGAGGUCUUUCGCCUGCUGGUCUAUCUAUUCAAGGCGAUUGUUACUUAAAUUAUUUACGCUUGGACAAUAAGCUUCGUACAACCAGCUUCUACGUUGGUGCCUAGCAUCAAGAUCAAUGGACCCAAGUUCUAUAUCUGAAGCUCCACAGUAUGGCUCUAUGGCAGUUGGCUUGAUGUAUCGUUUCGCAACCGAGAGGAAAUAGGCUCUUGGUCUCCAGAGUGUCUUCGCAUUAAAAAACAGUUAUGGUGAUAGCUGGUUUUUAGGUACAGAUGUGGUCUUUGCUGCUGCCUGCAGUCCUAUAAAGGCAUCACUUGUUAUUUCUGGAGGUAAAGAUGACAGAGGGUUUCUUUGGAGGAUUGGAUCAGCAGGGGAUGUUUAUGAUCUGACUGGGUGAGAAGGUUGUGAAUGAGAGGGACGUCUUGGUGAUCCUUUUGUCGGGAGGGCAAGGGAAGAAAAGGGUGAACUGGCACAUACUUUUGCUGGAUGAUUGUGUGUGUCUAAACUUACUAACUAGCAAAUAUGGCCAAGCGUGGGAGCGCCAAUUGUCGUGCACAGAUUCAUUUCUCCGCCAGAUUUCCAUCAGGGUGCAUAUGAGGUACAUGCUUUACUAGGCUUGGAAAAACAGGCCGUUGGAAGUGUAGUGCCCUUAGGUGCAACCUCUGAAGAUAUUAAGGUUAGAUGCAACUUGUGAAGAUAUUGAGGUACUGUUAUGCCUUUAUUUAUUGGGCCUGGAUCAGCACAGUGCAUGCUCAAACCUACUCGGCUAAUAUUGGUAAGCUGUUUUCUCUAGUGGAAAUAAAAAUAAAUUGCAUAAGCCAAGGAAACGACCAAGCAUCAUUCAAAUCUGAAUAGCUGGCAUGGUGACAAUAAAUUUGGUUAACUUCUUGCUGCAAGUGUUGGAUUAGAUUGCCAAUGAAGAACAAUCUGAGAAAACUAGCAAACUUUGAGUGGUUGGUCGUACACUAUUUCCAUCUAGAGGAGCCCUAUGGAGGUUGCUUUACAGAAGGGCCUUCAUCAGCACGAGUUUACCAUCUGUAACUGAAGAUGCAAAUAUCAGGCUGGAGAUAGAUCUGAAGCAUUGGCACCGUGGGAAAUACGUGACGUAUCCCAUGACAAGCAAAGAGCACUCUCAAUCCUUAACAUAUGUGAUGCCUUCGGGUGAUAUCUUAAACCUCGCUUCAGCCAGGCAGGGAGAGCUUACCACUUCACAGGUGGUCUUAAAGGAAUAAAAUGAAUCAUGGAUCAUAUUUUGUUUACAAAGUCACCUGGGAGAUUUUCAAAAUAGAAGCCAGAGCCAAAAACUGAGGAAGCACAGAUUAAACAACAGGUUUGGUCUACUCUUCAAAAUUAAUGUUGACAGAGCCUUUAGACAGUGUACUCAAUCUGGUGCUUGGAGUUUUCCAUUAAAAUGACGGGAGCUGCCCAGUUUGGAUAUGAUUGAUGAUGUACUACAUGCAGAAAACCUUGGCAAUGAUCUAUGCAGUAAGAGAGGAUGGACCAAUGGGAUGCCAUAUGCCAGAGUGAUUCUUGAGAUAGACCUUGUGAUUCUCAAAUAGGGGAUCACAAACUGAAGCAUAUGAGUUUUCCAUUCUACGAACCAUGUUUGGAUAGUUAAAUUAACUCCUGCAAAUUUUCUUUCAAGUUUGUGAAGUCGAAAAUUUCCUUCGGCCAUCUAAUGUUUCGGCUCAUGGUUUAGAAGUGUAUCUGUGUAUUGUGUUUACAUACUGAACUUGAUAAUGUAAAUUACAUAUCUAUAUAUUGUGUUAGUUAGGUCCUCCAAAA